AUGAACGCUGGCGGCGUGCCUCAUACAUGCAAGUCGCGCCAACAGACGAGGAGCUUGCUCCUUUGACGUUAGCGGCGGACGGGUGAGUAACACGUGGAUAACCUACCUAUAAGACUGGGAUAACUUCGGGAAACCGGAGCUAAUACCGGAUAACAUGUUGAACCGCAUGGUUCAACAGUGAAAGACGGUCUUGCUGUCACUUAUAGAUGGAUCCGCGCCGCAUUAGCUAGUUGGUAAGGUAACGGCUUACCAAGGCAACGAUGCGUAGCCGACCUGAGAGGGUGAUCGGCCACACGGGAACUGAGACACGGUCCAGACUCCUACGGGAGGCAGCAGUAGGGAAUCUUCCGCAAUGGGCGAAAGCCUGACGGAGCAACGCCGCGUGAGUGAAGAAGGUCUUCGGAUCGUAAAACUCUGUUAUUAGGGAAGAACAAAUGUGUAAGUAACUAUGCACGUCUUGACGGUACCUAAUCAGAAAGCCACGGCUAACUACGUG
rnacentral:rRNA from 1 species